rnacentral:rRNA from 1 species
AGGACGAACGCUGGCGGCGUGCCUAACACAUGCAAGUGGAGCGACGAACCAGGCUUCGGCCUGGGGCAAAGCCGCGAACGGGUGAGUAACACGUGGGUAACCUGCCUCGAUGAUUGGGACAACCCGAGGAAACUCGGGCUAAUACCGAAUGUGCCCUCCGGCCAUAAGGCUGCUGGGGAAAGGAAGCUUCGGCCUCCGCAUCGAGAUGGGCCCGCGGCCCAUUAGCUUGUUGGUGAGGUAACGGCUCACCAAGGCGACGAUGGGUAGCUGGUCUGAGAGGACGAUCAGCCACACUGGGACUGAGACACGGCCCAGACUCCUACGGGAGGCAGCAGUGGGGAAUCUUGCGCAAUGCGCGAAAGCGUGACGCAGCAACGCCGCGUGGGGGAUGAAGGCCUUCGGGUUGUAAACCCUUUCAGCAGGGACGAAGCGAGAGUGACGGUACCUGCAGAAGAAGCGCCGGCUAACUACGUGCCAGCAGCCGC